rnacentral:rRNA from 1 species
GAUGAUUAUUGGAGGUAGAGCACUGUUUGGACGAGGGGCCCCUCUCGGGUUACCGAAUUCAGACAAACUCCGAAUGCCAAUUAAUUUAACUUGGGAGUCAGAACAUGGGUGAUAAGGUCCGUGUUCGAAAGGGAAACAGCCCAGACCACCAGCUAAGGUCCCAAAAUAUAUGUUAAGUGGAAAAGGAUGUGGCGUUGCCCAGACAACUAGGAUGUUGGCUUAGAAGCAGCCAUCAUUUAAAGAGUGCGUAAUAGCUCACUAGUCGAGUGACACUGCGCCGAAAAUGUACCGGGGCUAAACAUAUUACCGAAGCUGUGGAUUGUCCUUUGGACAAUGGUAGGAGAGCGUUCUAAGGGCGUUGAAGCAUGAUCGCAAGGACAUGUGGAGCGCUUAGAAGUGAGAAUGCCGGUGUGAGUAGCGAAAGACGGGUGAGAAUCCCGUCCACCGAUUGACUAAGGUUUCCAGAGGAAGGCUCGUCCGCUCUGGGUUAGUCGGGUCCUAAGCUGAGGCCGACAGGCGUAGGCGAUGGAUAACAGGUUGAUAUUCCUGUACCACCUAUAAUCGUUUUAAUCGAUGGGGGGACGCAGUAGGAUAGGCGAAGCGUGCGAUUGGAUUGCACGUCUAAGCAGUAAGGCUGAGUAUUAGGCAAAUCCGGUACUCGUUAAGGCUGAGCUGUGAUGGGGAGAAGACAUUGUGUCUUCGAGUCGUUGAUUUCACACUGCCGAGAAAAGCCUCUAGAUAGAAAAUAGGUGCCCGUACCGCAAACCGACACAGGUAGUCAAGAUGAGAAUUCUAAGGUGAGCGAGCGAACUCUCGUUAAGGAACUCGGCAAAAUGACCCCGUAACUUCGGGAGAAGGGGUGCUCUUUAGGGUUAACGCCCAGAAGAGCCGCAGUGAAUAGGCCCAAGCGACUGUUUAUCAAAAACACAGGUCUCUGCUAAACCGUAAGGUGAUGUAUAGGGGCUGACGCCUGCCCGGUGCUGGAAGGUUAAGAGGAGUGGUUAGCUUCUGCGAAGCUACGAAUCGAAGCCCCAGUAAACGGCGGCCGUAACUAUAACGGUCCUAAGGUAGCGAAAUUCCUUGUCGGGUAAGUUCCGACCCGCACGAAAGGCGUAACGAUUUGGGCACUGUCUCAACGAGAGACUCGGUGAAAUCAUAGUACCUGUGAAGAUGCAGGUUACCCGCGACAGGACGGAAAGACCCCGUGGAGCUUUACUGUAGCCUGAUAUUGAAAUUCGGCACAGCUUGUACAGGAUAGGUAGGAGCCUUUGAAACGUGAGCGCUAGCUUACGUGGAGGCGCUGGUGGGAUACUACCCUAGCUGUGUUGGCUUUCUAACCCGCACCACUUAUCGUGGUGGGAGACAGUGUCAGGCGGGCAGUUUGACUGGGGCGGUCGCCUCCUAAAAGGUAACGGAGGCGCUCAAAGGUUCCCUCAGAAUGGUUGGAAAUCAUUCAUAGAGUGUAAAGGCAUAAGGGAGCUUGACUGCGAGACCUACAAGUCGAGCAGGGUCGAAAGACGGACUUAGUGAUCCGGUGGUUCCGCAUGGAAGGGCCAUCGCUCAACGGAUAAAAGCUACCCCGGGGAUAACAGGCUUAUCUCCCCCAAGAGUUCACAUCGACGGGGAGGUUUGGCACCUCGAUGUCGGCUCAUCGCAUCCUGGGGCUGUAGUCGGUCCCAAGGGUUGGGCUGUUCGCCCAUUAAAGCGGUACGCGAGCUGGGUUCAGAACGUCGUGAGACAGUUCGGUCCCUAUCCGUCGUGGGCGUAGGAAAUUUGAGAGGAGCUGUCCUUAGUACGAGAGGACCGGGAUGGACAUACCUCUGGUGUACCAGUUGUCGUGCCAACGGCAUAGCUGGGUAGCUAUGUGUGGACGGGAUAAGUGCUGAAAGCAUCUAAGCAUGAAGCCCCCCUCAAGAUGAGAUUUCCCAACUUCGGUUAUAAGAUCCCUCAAAGAUGAUGAGGUUAAUAGGUUCGAGGUGGAAGCAUGGUGACAUGUGGAGCUGACGAAUACUAAUCGAUCGAAGACUUAAUCAAAUU